rnacentral:rRNA from 1 species
UACGUAGGGGGCAAGCGUUGUCCGGAAUCAUUGGGCGUAAAGAGCGUGUAGGCGGCCCGGUAAGUCCGCUGUGAAAGUCCAGGGCUCAACCCUGGGAUGCCGGUGGAUACUGUCGGGCUCGAGUCCGGAAGAGGAGUGUGGAAUUCCUGGUGUAGCGGUGAAAUGCGUUGAUAUCCGAAGGAACGCCGGUGGCGAAAGCGACGGGCUGGAUCUCUUCUGACGCUGAGGCGCGAAAGCCAGGGUAGCGAACGGG